CGCCACACACUUGAGGCGAGAAGACGGCGGCGGGACUGCCACAUGGCCUGCUUCGUGGGGAUUGUCCUCAUUCAGCUGUUCAUAGCUGCUGGGGUCGCGUUUCUCGUGUGGAGUUCGAUAGACACAUCCAGUAAGCUCACUCUGAGAACAGAUACCGCCGGCCUCUGUGCAUCGGAGCCGUGUAAAAAUGGUGGAGUCUGUUUUGAAGGGAGCGACGAUUUUAUCUGCACCUGUGGGGAGGCGUGGGGUGGGAAAACAUGU